rnacentral:rRNA from 1 species
UACAGAGGGUGCGAGCGUUGUCCGGAAUCACUGGGCGUAAAGGGCGCGUAGGUGGCGACCCAAGUCUGUGGUGAAAGCUCGCCGCUUAACGGCGAGUCGGCCACGGAUACUGGGUGGCUCGAGCGACUGUAGGGGCAGAUGGAAUUCCGGGUGUAGCGGUGGAAUGCGUAGAGAUCCGGAAGAACACCGAUGGCGAAGGCAGCCCCCUGGGUCAAGAUUGACGCUCAUGCACGAAAGCGUGGGGAGCAAACAGG